GCCUGUAGCCAUACCAUCUUGUGCUGCUGACUUGUGUAAUACCCACAAGCUAAGAAAGGUUGGGCCAAGUGAGUUCUUGAAUGGGAGAUCUCUAAGGAACACCAGACCUAGCUGCUGUGGCCA
ensembl:rRNA 5S_rRNA 5S ribosomal RNA